CCUAUCAUCGCGGCCAGAGACGGGUGACAGACAGAUAGAGCCAGAGUGCAACGCGAAGAAGCUGAGCUGAGCAGAGCAGAGCUGAGCAAUGGCAAUCGCCUUCUGCUUCAACCCUUCCUUCUCUCUUUCUCCACUCUCCGAACUCGAUCCCUACCGUCCACUCGCUUCCUCCUCGUUGUCGCCGCCUCCCUUCCUCUCCAGCUCCGCCUCAAUAUAUCACCUGCUCCCGCCCUUCGAAUUCUCACACCCUUGUACGUCCCUAAAGACGCCAUUUUGGUUGGCGGAAACGAUGGAGACGACGAAAAUAGCAACAACAACAAGUACGGGAACAACCGAGGAAACAGCAGCGGAGAAGGAGGGGGAAGAGCGGGGAACGCGGGGGACAAGAACAGGGAGGAGGCGAUGGUGGUGCUGGCGGAGGCGGGGUGACUCUUGGAGAGCAUGUCAAAUGAUCUGAGGGCGGCGGUCGAGGCCGGGAGUAUCCCGGGAUCGGUGAUCGACCGGUUCUUAGAGCUCGAGAAGUCGGGGCUGUUUUGCUGGUUGAUGCAAUUCGGCGGCUUCAAGGAGCGCCUUUUAGCCGACGACCCAUUCCACGCCGUGGUCGGAAUCGAGUACUGCGUCGGAAUGUUCACCAUGGUGAUCCUUGAGUAAUCAUCAAUGAAAGAUAUAAAGUACGAUGCACCUCCGCAUGAUUUAGUGCGAGACAAGCCCCAUAAAUCCGAGUGAAUGCAGUCAAGUAUGCCUUUACCCGUGUGACUCCCGGCCUUGAAGCUUUGCUUAUGAUGCUUCCCAUAGACACAAUACUCACAAAAUCCCUUGUCACUAAGCACAUCUUGGGAAUAAGUUCCCUUUUCAUCAAGAUCUCCAUACCUUAUUCACUGAUGUGACACAAUCUUCUAUAUCUUCUAUGCUAUAACGCACUGGAAAUUCAUCACGUUCUAUCACCAUUUGUGCACCAACAACCGUGCUUCCAAGCAAUUUAUACAAGUUUCCAACCCCUUUCAUGACAACCAAAAUACCUUUUCAGACUGUAAUAACUUCAGCUUGCCCAGUGUAUAUGUAGCCACGAGAAUCGAGCUCUGAAAUUAAAACCAUGGAUAUUUGGGAAAAAGAAUGAUGGAAGGGUUUUAGAUUCCGUGCUCGUUUCUUUUCCUGCCCCUACUGUUUCUCUCCGACCACCACUUGCAACUAGUGCUGGAACAAUUGCCAAGUUCUUCCAUAACUGCCCUGAUAAUGCAUUCCAGGUUGCUCUUGCCGGAACCUCAAAUUCUUUUCUACAGAGAUUAGGGGCUGUGGUGGUAUCGAGUCUUAGUUGGUGUUAUUGAACAGUAGAUUCUGAAUACUUUGCUACACCAUCGCAAACUUAUGCUGAGUGCCAUUUACUCUGCUGCUCAGACAGUUACCUGCUGGUUAAGCAAAGUUCCUUCUUGGCUUACUACUUUUGCACCAGCAGAUGCUCUCACCAUGAAAGAGGAAGCCUGGAAUGCAUUCCCAGAAUGCAAAUCAGGUUACCAGUCUAAAAUUUGUUGCUCGAGGUGAUUUUUUGUUAACUGUCUCAGCAGACAAGCGAACCUGAAUUGCAAAUAUUAAUCUGGGUGCAACCCAGAGGAAAUCAUUAGGUACUGGUUUAAGCUCUGAUGGCAUUUUAAGCUGCAAGUGAAGAUUUAAGCAUUAUUAUCAGAGAGCUAUAUUGGCAGAGUAUUCUGGUCCUGUUCUUGGAGUAUUGUCUGCAAUAUUAUAUGGAUGGAGAGGCCGUGUCUGGAAGAAGUUUUGCUAAGUGCAUUCGACAUGGAAAGAAGAAGAAGAUGGUUGAUAUCAGGAAUGUUAGUUCCAAGAAAAACAAGCACAUCAAGAAAAUUAAGGGGCUGGUUCCAUGCUUUCUUCUCCAAGUAAAAGACGAUGAGCUCUUCGUCUGUUGGGAGGAAUCUGUACCCGGGAGGUUUGUUAAAAAAUCCAGCUUGUUCCUUAGUCUUGUU